UGUUUUGGAGGACAUAGAAGCAUAUACCUACAUAAACACAUAAAGGAAUUAAGAAUAUAGCUAGUAGCAAAGUGCUUUUUCAAUGAGAUUAUGCAGUGACUGGUUUUAGACAGAAUGAGUAUUACAGAAGGUGAGGGAAAAGAAGUGAAGCAUAAAGACUGAUGGAGAAACUCAUAAAUACAUAUACAAUCACCAUCACUGGAGAGAUAGAUGGAGGCACAGAUAAGUAGAUACGUAGAUACCUAGGGUGAAUAACUAAUAUGUAUAUUCACAUCUAUAGCUAUAUCUAAGAUAGGAUAGAUCAACCUAUUGAUUUAACACACACACACACACACACACACAAAACCCCACCCCACCUCUAGUACCCUUCCAGCAAUUGGCCUCGGCCAAGACCCAUUGCCUGUGUUCUGGGUUAGAUCAAGAUGCCAAUUCAGUGAGACAAAGCGGGGAAGGCUGGAAUCCCUCAAUCCCUCUCUUCCCAAAGACACUGGUGAGAGUCCUGCCAUAGAGGAAAUCUGAGUCCCUUGCAGAGAGAACAACAGAAGGAAGCCAGAAGCCCCCAGUGCAAAAGAGGCAGAUUCCGCAGCGCUUGCAGCGAAGCACUCUCCAAACAUGUGUUUCUGUGGCUUCUGGCUCCGCCGGUGGGCUCAGCCUGGGCCCCGCCCCGGUCUCUGAGACGUCCGCGUGGCGGCGUCUUGCUCCACGCAGGCGCAGGCGGCCGCCACCUGAACGCGACGCCUCCGGCCGGCCCCGCCUGCCCCGCCGCGGCCCAACUUGACCGGAGUUGAGGUCCUGAGCGCCUGCCCCCGAGCAGCCGGCCCGCGGAGAGCUCUGCGCCGCCACCCCAGGUCCGGAACCCCUCCCCGCUCCUCUCCGCUCCCGCGACCGGAAAAGUUGGCGCGGGCGGCCGCCCCCCAGCCGUGCAGAGCGCUCUUCUCCCCGGCGCGGGGCCCUCGGUCCCCCGGCCCCCGGAGCCUGCGGUGGUGGCUCCUGCUGGGUCCUGCAGUACCAGAGUUCCGACCCCAGGGUCCCCUUACCAGCGGCUGCCAGGACGCACUCCUGCUCCUCCCUCCCCUUCCCAGAGCGCUCCCGGCACUGGGGCGGUGCGAGGUGAGCGGGAGAAGAUGGAGCAGGAGAAGCCCAUGGGGACUUCGGGCAGCGGGAGCGUAGACUCCGGAACAAUAAUAAAAAAAUACGCAGGCUUCCAGGAUGGAGGAACUGAAGCUGACAAACAGCAAGUUAGAGGGUGGCAAGGAACUCCAGCACACCAAAGUGCCCCGCCCGUCCCGACCGCCGCCACAGCCGGAUACUUGCUGAGAACCUAGUAUUUUCCAGGCGUUGAUCAAGAGGUGUGUGUGAAGUGAUACAAAAAGUUAUGAACAUUCAUAUAAGGCAGUAGAAGAUGAUGGCACAACUGCUAGAGAAGUAAAGGUGAGAUGGGACCCCUUCUGGCUGGGAUGGUUAUAAAGGCUUGUGGCAAUGGUGUCGGUUACAUUGUGCCAUGAAUAGUAGUGAAAACUUUAAAUAGAGAUUUUUUGAAAUGACCAUAAGUACAUGGUAGGCAAAAAAACUGCAAGACAACUGCGGAAAGAAAGGAGAUUAAAAUCGCUUAACCUAUGAUGUCAGUUUUGAAUGAUUAUGUAUAUACUGCAUGCUCAAUGAGAAAUUAAAAAUCUGUGCCCUCCCCAGAUCUGUCAUAUCCUUUAAAGCAAUGAUGGCGCUUAUUUGCACAUUUAAAUUUUAUCUUGGAUGUUGUUGCUUUUUUGUUAUUGCAACUUAUUUCUCAAGCACAAUUAAAAAAAAAAAAAACUGCCAUUUAUCUAUUAAAUUCUUUCAGAGACAUCCUCAACCACACUGCCCACACCACCAUGUCUUUAAAU
ensembl:lncRNA